CUACCCCAGGCAGCCUGUUCCAAGGCUUAACCACCCUCUGGGUGAAGAAAUUCCUCCUGGGAUUGUUGCAUUAUAAGCAGUUUAAAGCAUAUUCAGCCUUGUGUGAAGGAAGAGGUAGCAGAUGGAAGCACCCCCACCUCCUUUGCGUGAGACCACGGCUCCUGGCCAAGGUGGGGGGAGAGGCAGGGGAUAGUGCAGCCCCAGCUGUGUCUCCCUAACAGUGUGCAAGACUGCAUGUGCGAGUUUUGGCUUCUCUUGGACCUCUUUCUGUCUUUAAGCAGUGAGUGAUCCCUGUAUGAACACACAUCAGAGGGUUGUGAUCAGUGACAACUGGUCUGGCUGGAGACUGUCGCUAGCUCUGUCUCCCAAGGGUUGAUCCUGUGUCCAGUUUUAACUUACUCAUCAGUGACUUGGAUGAACACUCACAUGCAGACUGGUGGAAAUGCAAGGGUCUUCCCUUUUCCUGAACAUGCUUUCCCAUCCCACUGGUGUUGAACAGGAGAGACUAUGGAGCAACUGCACAGAGGCUGCUCUCCUCUCAUAUUUAGGCAAAGGACUAAGGAGUGACUUGCAUUCCUAUAACCUGUGCGCUCAGCAUAUGGGAUGGGACAAAAUCCUAGUUUAUAGCAGAAAAUUAGAAAAAAAACAUCUUAGUUGUAGGCAGAUUGAAGAUCAUAAGAUCUUUAUAUGAUCUCUGCCCAGAGGGUGGUGAGGCACUGGAGCAGAUUUCCCAGAAAAGUUGUGCAUGCCCCAUCUCUGGGAGUGUUCAAGACCAGGUUGGAUGGAACUCUGAGUAACCUGCUUUUAGAAUUAGAUGAUCUUAAGGUCCCUUUCAACCUGAACCAUUCUCUGUUGAGGUGUAUGUGCCUAAGAACUCUAUUUAGAUCUGUUUCUCUCCUUUUUCAUGAGGAGUAGCAAUGUGGACCUCAUAUGUUGGGGCAUCUACAAAGCCACCCUGACUGUCCUGGUUGCUCCUGCCAUGUGAAAAGGGGGGUGGCCAAAAAUGUACUUAAGAAAAGGAGAGCCCUUUAUGCAGCUUUGCUGGUGUCUCUACAGUAGAUGUUUAAGACUUCUCAGAAUCCUUUCCAAAAAUUAGGCAAAGUUAUGAUGAUUAGGCUGUAAGAGGGAACAAGUCAUCCUGUCAUCUGGGGGUAUCCAUAUUUGUGAAACCAGUGCUGUGGAAGUAUUCCCGUGAGCAUCUUUGUUCUCCAGGGUCCCACAGGAGCCUGCCUGUGCCUGUCACUGAAGGACUCCUCAAGCAGAUGUCUCCAAAAAGUUAAACCUGGCUCAGCAGAGUUCAAAAAUUUUCAACUUGACUUGAAGUAAGCUCUGACUCUGGGGAUCUAUUUUGUUUUGCUCUGAAGAAAUGUGGGAAAGAAAACUACACUUUAUUUACAAGAGCUGAGUGUGCUUGUCAGGGUUGGAAAGCCUACCCGAACGUAUCAGAGCUGCAGUGAGUGGAAGAUAUUCCUGUUGCUGUGAGCUUGAAUAUAUGCAGCCUCCUCCAUAACAAGGAUCAGGGUUGUAGAGGGAAGGUGCUGUCUCUACUCACGUGGUAACCAUUUUCUCAGAGCUCAGCCUUGGAGCAGGAGGCUGGAGGGGUCGUAGAAGUAUUCACAAAGACACUUUCUCCCACUUGCCUCACUGGCAAGGGAGAGAUGUGUUCCUCCACAGUAAUUCAAGCCCCGAGCCUAAUUCAUGGUCAUGAAGAAACGAUGUAGAACAUAAAUCUCUCUGCCUUGCAAGUCAGACUACACAAGUGGAUAUGGGAGAGAUAACUCUCAGAUGUCUAGCAUUUGUGAAUACCAAAAGAACUCCCCACUGGGCAGCAUCUGCCAGUGAGAAAAAUCAGAGACAAUACCUACACUCGUUCUGACCUUCUGUUGUGUUUCUGCUGCUGAACUUAAUUUGAACCUUGAAGUCAUUUAAUAGCCAAAUACAUAAUUAACCAGCACUUUUCACAACAUGAGUGCAUAGCAUAACUUGCCCUGUUAUUUGGACAUCUCAUGGCUGAUGUUUGAUGUAUAAUAGCUGGUUUUAUCUAAUUACCCCUAGAAUUAGUGGUAUCAAGAGCAGCCAUGUGUACCCUUGGUGUGUCUGCAGGCAGGCUGCAGGAGGACCUGUGACACAAGGAGGAGUCUCAUAGUCACCACAACUCUUCACCUCGAAGAGCAGCAGAGGUAUUAACUCAUGGCAGUGAUUUUGCAAGGUUUAUGUCUACAAUCUAGGCUAACGUCGCUAAUUCGCUGUUUGCCACUCAACAGACAAAUUAAUGGUGUGAGUCAUUGUCAACUCCUACUAAAUAAACCAGUGAACAACAGAUGAAAGGCUCUGUAUCCAAGUUGUUUUCAUUAAUUGCACUGUGGGACAAGGGUAGAUUUAAUUUCAAGGACAGGAAUAUUAACCUCGAUUCCUUUUCCUUAAUUGAGUGUGGAGAAACAAGAAGCGUAAGCAAGGGAAGCAGAGAACAAGGACAUGGGUCAUUAGCACUGUCAUCUGGUCUCCCAGGCAGCAGUGCCUUGUAAAAAAUGUCAUUGCAGCAACCAGGAGGCAACGGCUUGUUUGGCAAGAUGUGCAGAGCAUAAGUAAAAAGAAUUUGCAGUGAUUGGAUUUUCACCAGUAUUUAGAUGCACAAGUCUCGGCAUAAGCUUACAACAAUAAACCAGUAACUGGAGCCCAUCUUGCAUCGUAGGGUAAAAACACCAGCAAAAGACUGCAGAACCAUCUCCUUGGGUGAUGCUGGCCCCGUGGGAAGCCUGUGAGGGGAAAAAGAUGUGGUAAUUAGGCCUACUUUUAUUACUGAUAUAUAACACUUGCAGAGCGGUUCUCACCUGAAGACUUCAAAUAACUUUCCAAAAAAAAAGAUUACAGGAAAAUUGAGGCCCAGUGGAGCACAGCUGACCUGUCAUUCCAAUAAUGUGGACUCCAGUGAAUCUGUGACUGAUUAGGUAUUAGUUAAGCAGUACAAUUCAGAAGAGGGGUCUUGGAUCUAGCCAAGCUAGAUCCAGGAAGCACCCUUUUAGUUAGCAAGGAUUGGGUCCUUUUUUUAAUUACUUUUAACUGCUGUUUGUAGCAAAGUUGAUUAAACUGAUGCAAGUGGAAAUAAACCAAUUACAAACCAGAUCAGCUGGUUGUUGUGAAAGUGGGAUAGCACAGUAUGAAUAGGUAAGUCUUUUAGAUUUGCAUAGCAGGCUGAUAUGGGAGAAUCUUAAUACGAGAGAAUGUGUCUCCUACAUAUAAAAAUUUAAUAAAUGACCAUGAAUUUUGGGCUUGCUACAAACUAGCUGACUGUGCCUAAUCUUGUCCAGGAUCAUAACUGUUAAUGACAUAAAAUAAAGUAAGAGAGUUUUCUGGUAAUGUUCUAAAGAACUUUAUAGUUCAAGGAGAGAGUAAAAUACUUAAAACACAUUGUUACUUGUUAAAAAUUCUGCAAAAUCAUUUAAAAAUUAUGGUAUCAUUUUUUAAUUGAUGUAAGAGGUUAACAGAGAUCUAUUUAUGUUAUACACUUCAUGAUCCUUGGUUGGUACAAGUGACUGUGCUUAAUUACAUUUAAAUGCUGUGCAGUUAGGAAAGAAUGUGCCUAAAGCUGUAUCUCUACAUGCAGUGCUCAUAAGAAGAAAGAAUUUCUCACCAAGCUCAAAUUCUUUCUUCUCUGCUAGUUAGAACCCAGGAAAUAUAAGAUCAUCUUCCUUUUAUGAAUCUAGCAGUGAUUGCAAAGCUGUAAAUAAAAAUGUAUUAAUUUAUCAUGGUGCCAGUGAGAGGGCAAACAAAAAUUAAUUAAAUGCAUGUUUCACUUAUAUCUGCAGGAAACCUUUAGGACUCUACAAAAUAGCAAACUGUGCAAGUCUCUUGACUUAGCUCAGUUACUCUUGGCUCCCUGGAGGCCCAUCAUUUUGAAAGAACUGUGGCCUACUUGGCUUGAAAAACCAGGACAAACUCUAUUUAUUUACUUUAAAAAAAAAAAAAAAUUAAUGCCAGAGUUUCUUGCAAUGAUCCAGAGAACAGGUGAAUUCAGGAGGGUACAGCCAGAACCCAGCACACUAGAGAAUGGCACUGUGCUGUGUUUACUCUCAUUGUACCAUUGGUGGGUUACUGAAGAUCUGAUUUGUCAUCUCUUGCUGGGAGAGUCACCUUUUUUAGUCUUGCAGAAAUUUCUAUACAUGCUUAGUUUGGGGUGCUGUUACCCCCUGCCUUGGGGCUCCUGCCGAGCCCUGGCCAGGGAGCCAGCCGAGGCCAAUGCCUGUCCUGGAUUGUGCCCAUGAUGUGCCCCACCAACACCCUAAAUCAUGGUUGAAAUGACCAGACAGUUUUUCAAUGAUCAAUGUCUACUUCAUGCUCAGCUCAGCUUUCUUUUUCCCAUAUUCUUCGUUGCUGCGGUUUAGCUGAGUACAGAGGACUUAACACUGUCAUCCUCUGGUUGUAAUCUCUGUUGUGAGACUGGAUAUGUGCACACAUGGGUUUUAAACUACCUAAUUAUUGACCUUAUUUGUCAAUAUAUAGAAAUAAAUAUAUGGUAGACACGUAUUAGCUUCUAAAUUCAAGUAAAGUGAAAAAGAAAAAUGUGCUAUUUCUUUUGUCAUUGAGCAUACUAGUGGACAAAAGCAACAUUUUUUCACUGUGUAAGUGGUCAUAAGUACAAGUAGUUUUUCUUCAAGAUUUCUCAGUGUCAGCUUUACAGUAGCCAAGACACAGCAUUUACGCUGGAUCUGCAAGAAACCGCAAUAAAUUUGGAAAAGUUAAUUAAACAAUACUGAGACUGCCAAGCAGGGGCUAAAUUACGCCAUGCUAUAGCCUGGGUUUCCUGGAGGUGACAGACUUCUGCUGAAGAAGGGCUGAGCAGCAGGAGAAAAUCUCUUUUUUUUUUUUUUUUUUUUGAGCUAUAUUGCUCAGAGGCCUUCAAACCUCUGUGGCUCUGCUCUGUAACUGGAUGAGACCCUGAAUAAUGACCCGGCAACAGAAAAAUGGUGCCAAAUAACCCUCAUAAAAUCUUUUGUGCAAGGCAAUUUUCCCCUUGCGUUAACAUGUCAGAGCACUGAGGACUUCAUACUUACUAAGACUUUUUGUCUUGCAAUUUCCCACAGAGCAGUGAAUUUUGUACUACUAAAAGCUGCGAUUAUGCAAAAAUGUGGCCUUUUUUUUUCUUCUCUUACCCAAAGAGGAAUAUCGCUGCUUUUGAAGAAGCAGCUUUGCUCUGCAGAGAGAACCCAGCAGGCCUGGUAACUUAAAAAUUUGAUUGCCAGUGAGCAAGUCUUCAGUUGUGUGUACGUUUCAUUUCAACACAGUGGCUUGGUAACCUUCAUGACCUAAUUAAAAUACACUAAGUAGUCAGCUGGUGGUGCUGAAAGCUGUUUUACAGCCUGGAAAUGGGAAUUGCGGUGGUUUCCUCCUUAUGGUCCAGAAUUGUUGUGAAGGGACAUCACAUGGAGCCUAUUCAAUGCACAAAGCCUCUCUAAUGGGUGCAGAAUGAUUUUGGGGUUUUUUUGUGUCUGAAAUCAGCGAUUGUUAGUAAUGUAAGAGCGAAGAAAAUGUACUCUUGAGUAGAGGCUGGGAUUUGCAGCUACUACAAAGAGCCUACUUAAAAUCUAGGCUGACCUUGAUUUCAGCUGGGCAGGCUUGGACUCAAGAAAAGAAGUAGGAUUAUAAGAGUUAAGAAGUAAUCUCAGAAGUGUCUGAAAUUGAUCUUUAUUUAUUGUAAUAAACACCUUGGAGGUUACUUCUGCAUUAAAAUUUUCUGCAUUAAAA